GACAACCCACGUGCCCGACAACAACACCAACGUCGAUGUUAUUUUAGAUGUGAUUUCGUGUUCAGUGAAUACGUACGUGGGAAGCAUUUUUAAAUGGAUAUCAACAUCCGUACACGGAAUCAACAUCCUUUGAAGAUCAUUACAAGCACCUUACUCACCAUCAGAAACUCCCAUCCCAAGUAGAGCGAAUCCGAUUUAGC
rnacentral:lncRNA from 1 species